rnacentral:rRNA from 1 species
GGUGAGUAACACGUGAGCAAUCUGCCCCUGACUCUGGGAUAACUCCGAGAAAUCGGUGCUAAUACCGGAUACGAACUGAGACCGCAUGGUCAUUAGUUGGAAAGAACUUCGGUCAGAGAUGAGCUCGCGGCCUAUCAGCUAGUUGGUGAGGUAAUGGCUCACCAAGGCGACGACGGGUAGCUGGUCUGAGAGGAUGGUCAGCCACACUGGGACUGAGACACGGCCCAGACUCC